rnacentral:rRNA from 1 species
GGGUUGUGAGGUUAAGCGACUAAGCGUACACGGUGGAUGCCUAGGCAGUCAGAGGCGAUGAAGGGCGUGCUAAUCUGCGAAAAGCGUCGGUAAGCUGAUAUGAAGCGUUAUAACCGACGAUACCCGAAUGGGGAAACCCAGUGCAAUACGUUGCACUAUCGUUAGAUGAAUACAUAGUCUAACGAGGCGAACCGGGGGAACUGAAACAUCUAAGUACCCCGAGGAAAAGAAAUCAACCGAGAUUCCCCAGUAGCGGCGAGCGAACGGGGAGGAGCCCAGAGUCUGAAUCAGUUUGUGUGUUAGUGGAAGCGUCUGGAAAGUCGCACGGUACAGGGUGAUAGUCCCGUACACCAAAAUGCACAGGCUGUGAACUCGAUGAGUAGGGCGGGACACGUGACAUCCUGUCUGAAUAUGGGGGGACCAUCCUCCAAGGCUAAAUACUCCUGACUGACCGAUAGUGAACCAGUACCGUGAGGGAAAGGCGAAAAGAACCCCGGCGAGGGGAGUGAAAUAGAACCUGAAACCGUGUACGUACAAGCAGUGGGAGCACCUUCGUGGUGUGACUGCGUACCUUUUGUAUAAUGGGUCAGCGACUUAUAUUUUGUAGCAAGGUUAACCGAAUAGGGGAGCCGUAGGGAAACCGAGUCUUAACUGGGCGUCUAGUUGCAAGGUAUAGACCCGAAACCCGGUGAUCUAGCCAUGGGCAGGUUGAAGGUUGGGUAACACUAACUGGAGGACCGAACCGACUAAUGUUGAAAAAUUAGCGGAUGACUUGUGGCUGGGGGUGAAAGGCCAAUCAAACCGGGAGAUAGCUGGUUCUCCCCGAAAGCUAUUUAGGUAGCGCCUCGUGAACUCAUCUUCGGGGGUAGAGCACUGUUUCGGCUAGGGGGCCAUCCCGGCUUACCAAACCGAUGCAAACUCCGAAUACCGAAGAAUGUUAUCACGGGAGACACACGGCGGGUGCUAACGUCCGUCGUGAAGAGGGAAACAACCCAGACCGCCAGCUAAGGUCCCAAAGUCAUGGUUAAGUGGGAAACGAUGUGGGAAGGCACAGACAGCCAGGAUGUUGGCUUAGAAGCAGCCAUCAUUUAAAGAAAGCGUAAUAGCUCACUGGUCGAGUCGGCCUGCGCGGAAGAUGUAACGGGGCUAAACCAUGCACCGAAGCUGCGGCAGCGACGUUUAGGCGUUGUUGGGUAGGGGAGCGUUCUGUAAGCCGUUGAAGGUGACCUGUGAGGGUUGCUGGAGGUAUCAGAAGUGCGAAUGCUGACAUAAGUAACGAUAAUGCGGGUGAAAAACCCGCACGCCGGAAGACCAAGGGUUCCUGUCCAACGUUAAUCGGGGCAGGGUGAGUCGACCCCUAAGGCGAGGCUGAAAAGCGUAGUCGAUGGGAAACAGGUUAAUAUUCCUGUACUUGGUGUUACUGCGAAGGGGGACGGAGAAGGCUAGGCUGGCCGGGCGACGGUUGUCCCGGUUUAAGCGUGUAGGGGGAGUGACCAGGUAAAUCCGGUUGCUUAUCAACCCUGAGGCGUGAUGACGAUGCACUACGGUGCAGAAGCAGUUGAUGCCAUGCUUCCAGGAAAAGCCUCUAAGCAUCAGGUAACAUUAAAUCGUACCCCAAACCGACACAGGUGGUCAGGUAGAGAAUACUCAGGCGCUUGAGAGAACUCGGGUGAAGGAACUAGGCAAAAUGGUGCCGUAACUUCGGGAGAAGGCACGCUGGCGUUAGGUGAAAGGACUAGCUCCUGGAGCUGAAGCCAGUCGCAGAUACCAGCUGGCUGCAACUGUUUAAUAAAAACACAGCACUGUGCAAACACGAAAGUGGACGUAUACGGUGUGACGCCUGCCCGGUGCUGGAAGGUUAAUUGAUGGGGUCAGCCGCAAGGCGAAGCUCUUGAUCGAAGCCCCAGUAAACGGCGGCCGUAACUAUAACGGUCCUAAGGUAGCGAAAUUCCUUGUCGGGUAAGUUCCGACCUGCACGAAUGGCGUAAUGAUGGCCAGGCUGUCUCCACCCGAGACUCAGUGAAAUUGAACUCGCUGUGAAGAUGCAGUGUACCCGCGGCAAGACGGAAAGACCCCGUGAACCUUUACUAUAGCUUGACACUGAACAUUGAGCCUUGAUGUGUAGGAUAGGUGGGAGGCAUUGAAGUGUGGACGCCAGUCUGCAUGGAGCCAACCUUGAAAUACCACCCUUUAAUGUUUGAUGUUCUAACUCGGCCCCAUGAUCUGGGGUGAGGACAGUGUCUGGUGGGUAGUUUGACUGGGGCGGUCUCCUCCCAAAGAGUAACGGAGGAGCACGAAGGUUAGCUAAUCACGGUCGGACAUCGUGAGGUUAGUGCAAAGGCAUAAGCUAGCUUGACUGCGAGAGUGACGGCUCGAGCAGGUACGAAAGUAGGUCUUAGUGAUCCGGUGGUUCUGAAUGGAAGGGCCAUCGCUCAACGGAUAAAAGGUACUCCGGGGAUAACAGGCUGAUACCGCCCAAGAGUUCAUAUCGACGGCGGUGUUUGGCACCUCGAUGUCGGCUCAUCACAUCCUGGGGCUGAAGUAGGUCCCAAGGGUAUGGCUGUUCGCCAUUUAAAGUGGUACGCGAGCUGGGUUUAGAACGUCGUGAGACAGUUCGGUCCCUAUCUGCCGUGGGCGUUGGAAGAUUGAGAGGGGCUGCUCCUAGUACGAGAGGACCGGAGUGGACGAAUCACUGGUGUUCGGGUUGUCAUGCCAAUGGCAUUGCCCGGUAGCUAAAUUCGGAAGAGAUAACCGCUGAAAGCAUCUAAGCGGGAAACUUGCCUCGAGAUGAGUCUUCCCUGGGGCUUAAAGCCCCCUGAAGGAACGUUAAAGACUAUGACGUUGAUAGGCUGGGUGUGUAAGUGCAGCGAUGUAUUGAGCUAACCAGUACUAAUGAUCCGUGAGGCUUAACCUUACAACACCGAAGGUGUUU